rnacentral:rRNA from 1 species
AGGACGAACGCUGGCGGCGUGCUUAACACAUGCAAGUCGAGCGGUGAUCCUCCUUCGGGAGGUGAUCUAGCGGCGAACGGGUGAGUAACACGUGGGCAACCUGCCCCUCGACACUGGGAUAACCUCGGGAAACCGGGGCUAAUACCGGAUACGACCUCGAGCGGCAAUCUCUUGAGGUGGAAAGCUCCGACGGUGAGGGAUGGGCCCGCGGCCUAUCAGCUUGUUGGUGGGGUAAUGGCCUACCAAGGCGACGACGGGUA